GGUCUGAGUUGGCUUAGGCAGUAGAGCAAGAGACUCUUAAUCUCAGUGUCAUGGGUUUGAAUCCCACUUUGGACCA